UACGGAGGGUGCAAGCGUUGCUCGGAAUUAUUGGGCGUAAAGGGUAGGUAGGUGGUCUCAUUUGUCUGGGGUGAAAGCCUUGAGCUUAACUCAAGAAGUGCCCCAGAAACGGUGAGACUCGAGUCCUGGAGAGGGUCGUAGAAUUCCCGGUGUAGCGGUGAAAUGCGUAGAGAUCGGGAGGAACACCAGAGGCGAAGGCGGCGACCUGGACAGGUACUGACACUCAACUACGAAAGCGUGGGGAGCAAACAGG
rnacentral:rRNA from 1 species